rnacentral:rRNA from 1 species
GUUUUUUUGAAAAUAAUAUAAAGUUUAAUUUGCCCCCUGAAUAAUUUUAAAGGGCUGCAGUAUAUUGACUGUACAAAGGUAGCAUAAUCAAUAGUCUUUUAAUUGAAGACUUGUAUGAAUGAUUUGAUGAAAUAUAAACUGUCUCUUUAUUAAAAAUAAAAUUUAAUUUUUUAGUUAAAAAGCUAAAAUAAAUAUAAAAGACGAGAAGACCCUAUAGAGUUUUAUAAUUAUUAUGAUUUAUUGCAAUUUAUAUAUUUUAAAAAUAAAUUAUAAUGAAUAUUUUAUUGGGGUGAUAGAAAAAUUUAAUAAACUUUUUUUAAAAAAUUAAACAUUGAUUUAUGAAAAUAUGAUCCAUAAUUUAUGAUUACAAGAAUUAAUUACCUUAGGGAUAACAGCGUAAUUUUUUUUUUUAGUCCGAAUAAAAAAAAAAGUUUGCGACCUCGAUGUUGGAUUAAGAUAAAAUUUAAAUGCAAAAGUUUAAAAUUUUGAUCUGUUCGAUCAUUAAAAUCUU